rnacentral:rRNA from 1 species
GACGAACGCUGGCGGCGUGCUUAAUACAUGCAAGUCGAACGGAAAGGCCCUGCUUUUGUGGCGUUCUCGAUAGCCGAACAGGUGUGUGUAACGCGUGUAACCUGCCCCUGUCUUUGGGAUAACUUCUCGAAACUGGGGAUAAUAUCGCAUAGGAGCUCCUGCUGCACGGUGUGGAAUGGAAAGUUUCGGCGGUUGUGGAAGGACUAGCUGGUUAUCAGCUUGUUGGGGGAGUAGUGGCUUACCAAGGCUUUGACGGGUAGCCGGCCUGAGCGGGUGACCGGCCACAUUGGGACUGAGGUACGGCCCAGAUUGCUACGGGAGGCAGCAGUGGGGAAUAUUGCACGAUGGGCGGAAGCCUGAUGCAGCAACGCUGCGUGCGGGAUAACGGCCUUCGGGGUGUAGACCGCUUUCGCCUGUGACGAAGCGUGAGUGACGGUAAUGGGUAAAGAAGCACAGGCUAACUACGUG